rnacentral:tRNA from 1 species
GCCUGAGUGGCUCAGUCGGUUGAGCAUCUGACUUUGGCUCAGGCCAUGAUCUCAUAGCUCGUGAGUUCGAGCCCCGUGUUGGGCU